AACGAACGCUGGCGGCAGGCUUAACACAUGCAAGUCGAACGGAUCCUUCGGGAUUAGUGGCAGACGGGUGAGUAACGCGUGGGAACGUACCCUUUGCUACGGAAUAACUCAGGGAAACUUGAGCUAAUACCGUAUGUGCCCUACGGGGGAAAGAUUUAUCGGCAAAGGAUCGGCCCGCGUUGGAUUAGCUAGUUGGUGGGGUAAUGGCCUACCAAGGCGACGAUCCAUAGCUGGUCUGAGAGGAUGAUCAGCCACACUGGGACUGAGACACGGCCCAGACUCCUACGGGAGGCAGCAGUGGGGAAUAUUGGACAAUGGGCGCAAGCCUGAUCAAGCCAUGCCGCGUGAGUGAUGAAGGUCUUAGGAUUGUAAAGCUCUUUCACCGGUGAAGAUAAUGACGGUAGCCGGAGAAGAAGCCCCGGCUAACUUCGUG
rnacentral:rRNA from 1 species